rnacentral:tRNA from 1 species
CGCGGAUUGCGCGGAUGAGGCGGAUGCGCGCGGAUUUGCAGUAUCCGUGAAAAUCCGUCCGAUCCGUGUCAUCCGUGU